GGUUUAGGGAGAAAAAGUAAGGGAGCAGCUUCCAAUCACUUCCCUCUCUCCCUUUGAAACAAUCAGUUUAUAAUCCCAUUUAGCAGAGUUAUGUCGCUUCCAAAUGAAGAAAAUGAUAAAUCCUCUUCUUCUGAUGCUCAGAAAUACAAAGUACCCAGAAAUCUGAAGUGGAAAAGAAAGGGAUGGACAGAAGUCCCAGGCAACAAUCUCUUUGUAAUCAUCGCCGGGAAAAUAUCGUGGUCAUUUUGAGCUCGGAUUCAGCCAGCAUGUACUUCAACUGUAGAUCUGUGCAAUUCUCAAGGACCUGCAUUAGCUCCUCUCCCUGAUCCUCCUAAUGAUUACGACACAUAUUACUCAAUGAAUCAAGCAAGAUCCACAAGGUUCAUGUACAUAUGUGACUAGCGGGUCAAGUUCCAUAAGGAGGUGGAAGCAGAAGAAUUGGCGUCACCCUUCAGUUUUUCAACCAAAAGGAGGUACUAUGAAUUGGGACCCGACAAUCCACCAUAUGCUGCCAAGUUCUACGACUUUUGUGGGGCUGAGGAUCCUGAGGCAUCUAGCUGCACUGCCAGUUUCCAUGUUUCGUAUAAUGACGAUUGAUCCAUGUAAUAUGUCUCUUUUAAGUUUCAUCAUUUCAUUCAGUCUUGCUCUUGCGCUGUAACCAAGGUUCUGUAUCUCCAAUAAUCUCAUCUCUUUUAUAUAAACAUGAAGUUGAUGCGUAA